AGUGAACGCUGGCGGUAGGCCUAACACAUGCAGGUCGAACGGCAGCACAGUAAGAGCUUGCUCUUACGGGUGGCGAGUGGCGGGCGGGUGAGGAAUACAUCGGAAUCUACUUUUUCGUGGGGGAUAACGUAGGGAAACUUACGCUAAUACCGCAUACGACCUACGGGUGAAAGCAGGGGAUCUUCGGACCUUGCGCGAUUGAAUGAGCCGAUGUCGGAUUAGCUAGUUGGCGGGGUAAAGGCCCACCAAGGCGACGAUCCGUAGCUGGUCUGAGAGGAUGAUCAGCCACACUGGAACUGAGACACGGUCCAGACUCCUACGGGAGGCAGCAGUGGGGAAUAUUGGACAAUGGGCGCAAGCCUGAUCCAGCCAUACCGCGUGGGUGAAGAAGGCCUUCGGGUUGUAAAGCCCUUUUGUUGGGAAAGAAAAGCAGCAGGUUAAUACCCCGCUGUUCUGACGGUACCCAAAGAAUAAGCACCGGCUAACUUCGUG
rnacentral:rRNA from 1 species